rnacentral:rRNA from 1 species
AACGAACGCUGGCGGCAGGCCUAACACAUGCAAGUCGAGCGCCCCGCAAGGGGAGCGGCGGACGGGUGAGUAACACGUGGGAAUUUUCCUCAAGGUACGGAACAACUCAGGGAAACUUGGGCUAAUACCGUAUGAUGCAGAGAUGCCAAAGAUUUAUCGCCUUGGGAUAAGCCCGCGUCAGAUUAGGUAGUUGGUGAGGUAACGGCUCACCAAGCCUGUGAUCUGUAGCUGGUCUGAGAGGACGAUCAGCCACAUUGGGACUGAGACACGGCCCAAACUCCUACGGGAGGCAGCAGUGGGGAAUCUUGCGCAAUGGGCGAAAGCCUGACGCAGCCAUGCCGCGUGAAUGAUGAAGGUCUUAGGAUUGUAAAGUUCUUUCGCUCGUGACGAUGAUGACGGUAACGAGAGAAGAAGCCCCGGCUAACUUCGUGCCAGCCGCCGCCGUAACAC